rnacentral:rRNA from 1 species
CAGUAAGGAAUAUUGGUCAAUGGAGGCAACUCUGAACCAGCCAUCCCGCGUGCAGGAUGACGGCCCUAUGGGUUGUAAACUGCUUUUAUUUGGGACGAAAAUUAGGUAUUUAUACUUAACUGACGGUACCUUAUGAAUAAGCACCGGCUAACUCCGUGCCAGCAGCCGCGGUAAUGGCCCACGGGAGGCAGCAGUUAGACCAGCAGCCGCGGUAAUAG